AUUAUUUUUGCACAAUGAACAUUGAUGUGACUCUACACUUUUUGUCUUCAAGACAUUUUGCUAAACCAGGUCAUUGGCCAGACAGAAGACUUGUAUCCUGUAAAGAUCCUGGUCCGGCAGAGAACUAUAAGCGAGGGCAGUGACCUUUAUGUAACCUGCAGCAUGUUCGGGCAAAAGAAGUACCCCUCUUUUUAUGUUUAUUUACUGAAAGAUGGACAAGGAUUUCAGAAAUCAAAUCAGAAGCAAAAUUUGGAUGAUGUUCUUUUCACAAUAUCUAAUGUUCAUCUUGAUCACAGUGGAAAUUACAGCUGCUUGUACUCCACUACAAAUUACAACCCUUCUGAUGUAGAAAGGAAAGGACAGGAUGUUGCUGAGACUCUGGUUAUACGUGAGUAUUUUUAAUUCUUGUUAAUCCCACAUGCAGCUGCUUUCAUUUAUUAAUUUCUCCAACUGCUAUGCAGCCAAUUUCAUCCCAGCAGAGCUCUCCAUAGCUGGACCCUUCACAGUUAAUGAGGGAAGCAACGUUGAGUUUAAAUGCACCUUUUCAGAAAUCCUGCACACUCUCAAUAACUGUCAACUCAUCUACUGCUACCUGAAGAAGAAUGAGACCAUCCUUCAAGUACAAGUAUUUGAUCUUGCUCGGAUGGAAGCCUCUUUCACCAUUGAAGGUGCCGUUUCAAGGGAUUCAGGUCCAUAUAGUUGCCUUUUGCUGCCGUCAAAAUGCUUCCAGAAACAAUGGAAUGAGCUUCAGGGAAUAAAUACGGUGAUUCUGGAGGUCAAAGAGGAUUUGAUCCCAUGGGCGGCUUUGUCUUGUGGAAUUACAUUCCUUAUUUUGCUUUUCAUUCUGUGUCUGGGAUUGAUGAUUUACAAAAGU